rnacentral:lncRNA from 1 species
GAUGAAACACAUAUACAAAGUGUCAAUAUAUUUAAAAUCAUAAAUAUCUAAGUUUAAAAAUUAAAAGAUUAAAAGCUGACCUAAUGAGAUCAUUUUUUGGACUGUUAUCAUCCUCAAACCAGCUAUCUUUUGGAUUAACUUCCUCUCCAUUAUAGAGUGUCUCCAACCAUUCAUUCAAAUAGAUGGCUUCAACGACCAAUGUCCUUAUAUGUCUCCGAGUGAAUAUGGACGUACAUGUUCCAUCUUCCAUCCAAAUUUUGAAUUUAACGAUGAACCUCCUAGAUAUGUCCUUUACAAAAGUCAUUACUUUUAGUUUGUACUUCAGCCAGUUAUGAUUUAGCAACAAGUCUCUGUCCAUCUGUCCAAUCAAAU